CACAAAACAAAAGGAGGUGACUCACAGAUCCAAGCGCCUGGGCUCAAUCGUCUCUUGUUCGAAGGCGGCACUUUAGGAAUCUGAAGAACGUGGUGAUGGAGUGGCGGCGCAGAUCUCCGCCUGUCUCUCAGUGGACGUCCGCUCACCGUCUGACAAUCAACCCCCCCGACGAGACCGAACUGCUUCUCUUUCCGGGGAAGGAUUCUCCUACACAGGACAUGACGGUCACCUUUUGGCAACUCCGUGUUAACGCCCACUUUGACUGGCAGGAACCUCGGCGUGACACUCGACAGCCGACUCUCCCAACUCCCGACAGGCUUCAGUGAAGGCCUCGCGGCCCAGAAACGGGAGCAGCAACUCCGCCCGUGGUUGGCCGAUCUGCCCCUUUCGACCCCUUUUCCGAACCGCCUGCUCCCAUUGGACACGACGAAACCCGCAAAUGACGACUGAGAAUGAAUGACAUCUGCCUGUAAAGUUCGAGCCCCUAACCCCCCUGCCGUCAUUCAAGGACAGCGGAUUCAUUUCAUCAUUUUGUUCAAAACGUCAAAGGAAAAGGAUUAACGGAUCAUAUGCUGGAUGCUUGGUGGCUAUUUUUGCUCUGAGAGAAACGAUACUUGUAUCAACGUCUUCCGCUUCGCUGAGAAAUGUGUGAGCACCGCCGUUUGCUGAUUUUUUGGACUAAUUAAUAUAUCUUAUUUCAUAACUUGUUGGAGUUGUGUUUCAAACAGUGUGAAGCAUUCCCAGCUGCGCGGCUUUAACCACACAUGAAUACGUCUGCCAUAAGUUAGUGCACACUGGUUUCCUAUUAUGCUUUUUAACCGAAGCCAUUUGCCGUAGCAGGAAAUUCCCAAAUAGCUGCACACUGUAAGAGGGAGUCGCCGAGGCCUAUGAGGACACCUUGAGUACAUCACAUUACUUUACAGGUCAUCUAGCAGACGCUUUUAUCCAAAGGGACUUACAUUGCAUUUUUAACACUUGGCUUUUUACAUUUUUGCCCGGGGAGCAGUUAGGGGUCAGGUGUCUUGCUCAGGGACACUUUAAGUCACUUUGUACCUUUUCUGUUAGUCAAAAGGUACACUUAUGACCUCUUAAAGACCAAUACUGUAUUAUUGAGGGAACAUUCUUCAAAAGUGUACCCGUAAGUACAAAACUGUUGUUCUCUCGUACCUCUAUUUUUGUGUGUGUAUUGAAUGGGCCUAACCCUAACCCAUCUCCUCCCUCUAGGAGGGGGAAUCACUAGUCACAAGGGUCCCGUUGGACAUGUGCCCACACACACACACACACACACACACACAGGAAGACGAGCAGAUCCCUCCCACGCUGUCAGUCCGGUUGUUGAGGUGAACAGAGCCGGCGGGGGAAGCCCACAUUCCAGGUCCACAAAACAAGUCAAGAUAAGAUAAUGACGUCUUCAUCACAGCAGAUUUCCCCGAAAUGAGCAGCCUGUCAGGACCGAGGUUAACCUUCCCCCACAGAUCCCUUUCCAUUCGAGCGCCUUGGACAGAGGGAACGUACCUCAGGGGGAGCACAGACUGGUCUCUUAUCUAACAGGACCUCCUCUGUCACAGCGGGCGCCACCUGUCGUGUACUGAAGGCUCCUCUC
ensembl:lncRNA